AGUUUCCUACGGGGGGCAGCAGUGAGGAAUAUUGGUCAAUGGGCGGGAGCCUGAACCAGCCAAGUCGCGUGAAGGAAGAAGGUACUUAGUAUUGUAAACUUCUUUUGUCGGGGAACAAAGGCGGAGACGCGUCUCCGGAUGAGUGUACCCGAAGAAAAAGCAUCGGCUAACUCCGUGCCAGCAGCCGCAGUAAUACGGAGGAUGCGAGCGUUAUCCGGAUUUAUUGGGUUUAAAGGGUGCGCAGGCGGGAGAUCAAGUCCGCGGGUAAAUGUCGGGGCU
rnacentral:rRNA from 1 species